CCAGGCUGUGGUUGUGACCUGAGGACGCGUGUGUCCCCGCCCCCAGGCCACCGCUACGCGACCCUGAGUGCACCUUCAAGAAGGCCGGGCACGUUUCUGGGCGGGCGUGGGGGGUGCCUGAUAUCUCCGCUCUAUUUUACAGUUACUCCCCUGCUGGUGCCUCCCUCCUUGGCGCGCUUCCCACCUGCGAUCGGCGCCCUCUUCGCAGUCACGAACUCGCCAGCAGCUAGCAGCACUGACUAGUAGGAGGGCCCGCCGGAGGAGAGGACAUACUCUGGAGUCAGAAGACAGCGAAAAGAGAAGCAGAAGCCCCGGUGGCAAGAGUCUGAAGCAGGAAGGAUGACUGUAGCCUGUGGAUUGUACUGCAGUAGGAAACUGUCCUAGCAAGGCUCCACCUUGCCCCAGCUUCAAGGUAUAUCGUCUCAAAAUGCAGGGGACUUCAGAUGAGUUUUGAG
rnacentral:lncRNA from 1 species